rnacentral:lncRNA from 1 species
AUCCCUUUCAUAAAUUCAUCAUCCCUAUUCAAAAAAUAAAAAAUUCAACAUCCGUAAAAUCAAAAUCCCUAAAUUUAUCUAUCUAUUGUCUUCAAAUAGAUUCCCUCAUUCCUUUAUCACACCAACAACACCGUUCACCACCGCCAUUUCAUCACCUAACAUCAGCAGAUCCAUCCCUAUCAGAAUCAUCAUCAUUGACACAGAUAAAGAAACACCAUGGUUGGCACCAUAAAUAUAUAGAAACACCAUGGUUGGCACAAAUAAAGAAACAUAGAAGCAAAAGCCCCUGUUUCGUAAAAGAAAAACAUAAACAAAGGUGAAAGAGAGACAUGGACAUGGUGGAGGUUAUUUGAGUUUCUUAAGGAUACAUGUGAAGUAACAGAAGCUGGUUGGAGAGAUGAAAUAAACUACAAUAUGGAUUUCAAUUUUUUAGAUCUGGAUAUUUUUUUUUUUUUUAGCGGAAUUGUGACAGUUGAAUUUUGUUAAAUUUGGGAAUCCCUGCCGAAUUUUGUAAUGAUUUCGGAUUUUGUUUUGAUUGGGAACAUGGGUUAUGUUGAAAAGAUUUUAUAAAUUGAUGAUUUAGGGUUUUGUUUUUUACACCUUUAUCUUCUUCGGGUUACACCAUCACCUUCAUCUUCUCUAUAAUCCAUCGCUUCUGAAGCUUUUUCAGUCACAAGCUUCUGGAACAGGAUUCGCGAUUAAGGAGUUUCAGUACACGAAUCAAGCAGAACUGGAACAUGAUUCGCGGUUUACGGUUUCAACAACAAUUGGGACACGAUUUUGUGAUUUUGAGGUUGAAGAAGAACUGGAAAAGGAUAAUAACUAAUGUUAUGGUGCUACGAGAAGAGCUAUGGAGGAAGAAGAAGAAGAACUGGAACAAAUAUGAUGUUGUAAAACUGGGUUUUGAAGAAAAAUUGUAAUGGGUUUCAAAGCUUUCUCUUUCCCUUUUUAUUUUAAUGAUGUUAAAGCAAAC